rnacentral:rRNA from 1 species
AUUGAACGCUGGCGGCAGGCCUAACACAUGCAAGUCGAACGAGUGGCGGACGGGUGAGCAAUGUCUGGGAAACUGCCUGAUGGAGGGGGAUAACUACUGGAAACGGUAGCUAAUACCGCAUACCAUCAGAUGUGCUCAGCGGGGAUUAGCUAGUUGGUGGGGUAACGGUGCACCAAGGCGACGAUCCCUAGCUGGUCUGAGAGGAUGACCAGCCACACUGGAACUGAGACACGGUCCAGACUCCGACGGGAGGCAGCAGUGGGGAAUAUUGCGCAAUGGACGCAAGCCUGAUGCAGCCAUGCCGCGUGUAUGAAGAAGGCCUUCGGGUUGUAAAGUACUGUCGGCGGGGAGGCGUUACCCGCAGAAAAAGCACCGGCUAACUCCGUGCCAGCAGCCGCGGUAAUAC